rnacentral:rRNA from 1 species
UGGGGAAUAUUGCACAAUGGGCGCAAGCCUGAUGCAGCCAUGCCGCGUGUGUGAAGAAGGCCUUCGGGUUGUAAAGCACUUUCAGCGAGGAGGAAGGUGGUGAACUUAAUACGUUCAUCAAUUGACGUUACUCGCAGAAGAAGCACCGGCUAACUCCGUGCCAGCAGCCGCGGUAAUACGGAGGGUGCAGGCGUUAAUCGGAAUUACUGGGCGUAAAGCGCACGCAGGCGGUUUGUUAAGUCAGAUGUGAAAUCCCCGGGCUCAACCUGGGAACUGCAUUUGAAACUGGCAAGCUAGAGUCUCGUAGAGGGGGGUAGAAUUCCAGGUGUAGCGGUGAAAUGCGUAGAGAUCUGGAGGAAUACCGGUGGCGAAGGCGGCCCCCUGGACGAAGACUGACGCUCAGGCUGACGAAAAGGCGUGGGGGAGCAAAACAGGAUUAGAUACCCUGGUAGUCCACGCNGUAAAACGAUGUCGAUUUGGAGGUUGUGCCCUUGAGGCGUGGCUUCCGGAGCUAACGCGUUAAAUCGACCGCUUGGGGAGUACGCCGCAAGGUUAAAACUUAAAUGAAUUGACGGGGUCAUG